GAAGGGAGAACAUGUUCUAGCAAUGAAAUCUUCAAAAGACUCCUGCUGCUGCUCUGUGACUGGGACCCCCAGGUUGUCUUUGGAAGUUUCUAAGGCCUCCUGAGUAGAGACUGGGACAUGGAAGGAGUCGAGAGGCAAAGGAAGCCCAGCAUCACCUGUAAUUUUCUGAAACUGGAGGGAAAGACAAAAGACAAGACAAAAAUUCAGUGAUGAACAAAGCCAACCAUUAAAAAGUAGAGUUCAAAACGUCAAUGUUAUUCUGUGAUCUUAUUAUUAACACAGUAAUUGAUUAUUCAGAAGAUUUCAGAGCCAGUUUUUUUCUAAUUAUAUCUUGCCAAGUGAUUCUCAACUUAACCUAGCUAUAUCCAAGGCUAUGUCUGCUACAUUUUCAGACUUUGGUGAUUGGGGUAGUUAUUACCCAUUUCCUUUCCCUCACUAAAAAUGAAACCCUACUCUGUAAGAAAAUUAAUUUCUUUUCUAUCCUCCAGGCACAUGUAAACAGUAUAUAGUUUGUGACCAGACUGUGUUCUCAAGCUGUCAGUUCCCAAGACCAGUCUGAGAUUGGCUGAGGUGGGUGAAGGGGGCUCCAAGUAACGCUAGAGGAAAAGCUGACAUGUUUCCCCUCCCAUUCCCAUGACCAGACAACAGGAAGAGAAAAUAAAAAUGUAAACAAUGGGAGGAACCAAGAUGGCAGACUAGAAGGACGUGAUCUCACUCCCUCUUGCGAGGACACUGGAAUCACAACUAGCUGCUGGACGGUCAUCGACAGGAAGACACUGGAACACACCAAAAAGGAUACCCCACAUCCAAAGACAAAGGAGAAGCCACAAUGAGACGGCACCCCAGAGAGAAGGUGUGGAACUAUUAGAAGCAACCUGGAUAUCAACCCUGCUUCUGGGAGGCAGUUCUGACUACAAGGGCAGGAGAUUCUCUGAAGCCAGCUCGAGAGAGGCUAUAUUCAUCUGUGUUGAUCACUGCUGUGUUUCCUGAACAUGCCUAUAAAACAUACUGAAGAAGGGUGCCUGAAAUUUGGGUAAAAUUGAAGCGUCCUGGCAGACAGGAGAAGUGACGGAAGGAGAGCUGCGUCUGGACCUUGGAGGAGGGCUGCGAUCUCACAGGAGAAGCAGGUGCGAGGGAGACCCUGGGGCAGCCACCGGGAGGCCAGGAGGCUGGAGUGAGCAUGCUCAGAGAGGCUGUGGUGGGAUCGUGGUCCGUGAGGAUGAGGGUGGAGGAAGUUACACAGGUGGGAUGGGGCCAGGUUUCACCUGACUCUGAAAGCCAGGCAGAAGGCAGACUAGAAACUUGAGGCUUGUGUUUCUCAAACCCCAGGCUACUCAUAAAUAUGCAGCAUCUUCCUGGAAACUCAGUGUUAUACAAAUAUUUGGGGCAACUCAUUCUUUAACUCAUGUACUAAAACAAACGUUCUGGAGUAGAAUACAAAAUUGACGUGACUUUCGUAAUAAAAUAUGCAUUUUUGAAGCCACUUUGGUUUAUGGCAGGUCCCUUGCAUGACACUGUCACACCCCCAGGGACUCUUCUCCAUAUGGGGUGUAUCACGGGACAGUUUGAGAAUUUCCUUAAGCAAUAGGAAAUGAGACCUCACUGCCCAAGGCUUUGCUCUGUGCCUGGAGCAUCUUUUCUGCCCCUGUGAGCAUCUUCUGGUCCCACUCCAAGAGCUGAUCUGACAUCUGGGCUAAUAGAGCAGAGUGACUGUGUGUCCCACGAAUAUUCGCCAAUGCCAAGAUGUGGUCCCUUAAUAUCAAGUGCUAGGACAUCUGUACGGUCCUUUGUAGGUUGAUUUGCCAUCAUACUCUCCACAGCCCUAGAAAUAAUAAUAUUACCCUGAUUUACAAAUGAGGGAAUGAUGUGCGGCAGGUUUUGUAAACAAGUUGGAUGGGUACUUUCGAGAAGACUGUAUGUCAGGACAUGGGUCCUGGCAGGCAGGGGGCCCCAGAGUCAUAUUCAUGUGUGCAGCCCUUUGAUCUGGAAGGUGCCUUCUGUCACGGUCAUCCGCCAGCUUCAUGGAAGGCAGCCGCCCUUCCUCAUUCAGUUCUCCAGCGUCUGUCAACUGGUGCAUUGCUGGACAGGAAUUCAUGACAGCGUUCAGCCCCAUGUUUCUUAUGAAGAAUUUAACUGAAGCAAACAGAAUUUAGGUGGGCAAUUUAGCCUUGGAGAUUGCUGUCUGUCCAUCUGUCUGUUUCUGUCUUUUUCUCUCUCUCUUUCAGGUUAUUGACAAUAUCAUCAUGAUUUGAAACCCCCAGAAUCACCUGCUUUUAUUUAGCAGGGUAUUGUAAAUAGUAAACUACUGUCUUCAAAGCUCAGGAAGCCCUGUCUAUUUUAAUACCAACUUUCUGAAGGCUCAUUAGUAAUUAAUGAAGUCAUUAAGAAUGGUUCACAGUGACUGACACCUUCCUGGCAACCACAAUCUCCUCUUGUACUUAGAGGAAAUGCCACUGGCUCCACAGGUUUGAUUUGGGGAGUGGAGUGGGUAGCUGUAGGGGGCAGGAAUCAGAUUACAUAAAGUUUCACAACAGCCAUCAGCCAGAACAGAAAGCUGUGCGUGUGUUCCUCCAAGUUCCUCUACUUCGGAAGCUGUGCCUUCAUCCAUCCAAUGCUGGUUUUCAGAAAUCUUGCUAAUAUCAUGUUUUCCAAGACAGUACCGUGUGGCUCAACUCAAUUAGCAAAGAUGUAAGGUUGAAAGUCACCCUCUCUUUUUUCUGUUGUUGUUUUUUCUCCCAUUUUCACACAUUUCCUUUUUUCUUGGCAUUGCCUAGAUUUAUUCUCCUCUUUUCCCUUUUAGGAACAGAAUUUGGCAUAAAUAAAUAACUGACAAAAUGGUAUAAGCAGGAGGGUAAACACAGGGUUUCUCCAGCCUCCGCUGCAGGUCGGGGUAAUUUGUUGCAGCAGGUGGUUACCCACAAGAAGGACGGGAGCUCCAACGGCUGCUGUUUAAUUUGUAUUUUAAUAAAGCAACCCACAGCCUUCCCUUAAUUGCUGACAAUGGAACGCGAACCCCCUCCAAAGCCUUUCAGGUCACUAAUGCACUGAAAUUGUUAAAUCGAAACGGACUACUUUAGCCAGGGCACUGGCCACAAGGUGGAAUUCGGUACAUUUCAUACCUCAGUGCAUUUAAAUGGUAUGGAGCUGAUAUUUAAUACAAAUGCAAGCACCAGUGGAGUCCGCAUACUUAAUCUGCCUUCUCCAACUCUCAGAAUUAAGCAGUUGAUCUAUGGGACACAAAGGGAUCAUCCUUCUCUCAAAGAGAAUAUUUUAUGACCAGGCAGUUUAUUUAUUUAUUUGAAAUUUAUUUAUUUAUUUUUUAUACAGCUGGGUCUUAUUAGUUAUCUAUUUUAUACAUAGUAGUGUACGUAUGUCAAUCCCAAUCUCCCAAUUCAUCCCACCACCACCAGGCAGUUUAAAAGGCACUGACAUAAACAACUGUUUACAGCUCUCUCUCUCUCUUUCAUCUUCAAAAGGCAAAAAGUACAUGUAAGGACUUGCUGUUUGGCAGACAAAGCAUUUUAGAAAGUCACUUGAAAUGCUUUCCUUUUCCUUUGAGGAUGACUGAAUCUUUGAUAGGUGCUCAAGAGAGUUCUUAUAAUUUAGUUUAUUUCUCUUAUUUUUUCUUAAGGGGGAGAAGUGGGAUAGUGUGAAGGCACAGAGCUGAAGCCUGCAUUUUUUUAUUUUUUCAUUUUACCUUCAUUUAUUUCUUCCAUUUAUUUCUCGCUCUCUGCUUUCUUGUGGAAGUGGAAAUCUUACGGCUUAAAUCAUAAAAGUAUUAUUUAUGGCUUUUACUCCAUGACUGAACGUGCCAGAUUUUCUGGGACAGGGUCAAUUUCAAAGGAACAGCUAAGGUUAAUUUCAUCCUUGGGGCUUUGUAAGAAUUUCACCUAGACAAAGGAAGGAAAUAAAAAACAAAUACUUUGCUACACCCCUUGUCCUAUUUUUUGACUCCUAGUAGAGGGUCACUCUCCUUUUAGCCAUGCUGAUAUUUGGAAAGCCACUAUGGAAAUGACUUAAUUUUUGAGGUAUAUGUCUCAUAAAUAAAAUGUGUGUCCCUCAUCUUCUCAUUUCCUUCCAGCGCUCGAGGGAGUAAGAAGACAUGGAGUGAAGAGCUGCCUCAUUUUCCAGAGAGAAUAGGGGCACUGAGAGCUAGGAGGGACGGCGGUAGCUGUCACAGUCCUGAAUUUUUACCUCCUGGAAUCCAGGAUGGGCCCCUUCCCCACCCCGCCAGCUGGAUGAGUGAUCACAGUGGAAUAAUGAUGCCAGGAGGCUCAGAGGGCCGCUCCCACACCGGGUUGGAGGAGAGCCUUACAGGUUGUCAAUGAAACCUGGAAUUAUUUCCUUUGAUGGCUCAGGUAAUAGUAGGAGCCAAGGCAAUGAGUGAGGUCGUCUGAAACCAAUGGAGUCCUGCCCGGGACCCGGGAGCCAAUCGCAGGAGCAGAGGGCGGGGCAUCAGCGCCAGCAGAAAAUUGCUAAGUGCCUCGCUAGCACAGUUGGUCCGAGCCGCCGAAAGGUCUGGUCGCAGAGACGGGGACGCGUAAUCCUCAGCGUGCUCCAUCCCGACAGCAGCCCUCCACGGCUCGGCAGGGCAGCGAGCCUCUGGGCACCGGCCCCUCUGCUCCACGGAGAAGGUACUCCUGCUGCAUCCCGGCGGGGCUGCUCUUGCGUUUCCGUCCUCAGCGGCUUGCAGUUUAGCCUCUGUAGAGGGGUUGCAGAAAGAAAAGUUUAGGGGAGGAAAUGUGACAACGGAGGGAAAUCACCGUGUUUUGUUGGGAGGAAAACAAGCUGACGGUUUGGGAAACUUCUGUGCUGUCUAGAACUGGAUUGGUUUACUACUCUCUCAAUUAGCCGCGCUCAGGUCUGUGGAAAUAGGUCUGGUCUUGGGCUAGGGUGCCUGCCUGUUGGGGUGUAGAUUUGGAUUUGUUGGGUGAAGGGGGUUGAACCCUGGAUGUGCUGCUUCCUGGAGGACGCAUUGCUGGGAGGCUGACUCUGGGAAGCGUGAUGGGUUGGUUGGGUUUUCCACCAUAGGGUCUUCCCCCUUGACUUUAUCCUGACCUGCUGUCCCCCAACUCUUGUGACCUUCAGUUUGAGUCCUUCCUCAAACUUCUGUCUCCUUCCUCGCCCCUCCCGCUUGCCGACUCUGUCUGCGCUCAUUUAAUGUGGUGGAAGGAGACAUUUCCUGGGGUGUGGGCGACUGUCCUGUUUGACCUGAUGGGCGUCUGCCUGUCACAUAACUUGGUGAGAAAGCAACAAAACGGUUCCCAGAGGA